rnacentral:rRNA from 1 species
AUGAACGCUGGCGGCGUGCCUAAUACAUGCAAGUCGAGCGAACAGACGAGGAGCUUGCUCCUCUGACGUUAGCGGCGGACGGGUGAGUAACACGUGGAUAACCUACCUAUAAGACUGGGAUAACUUCGGGAAACCGGAGCUAAUACCGGAUAAUAUAUUGAACCGCAUGGUUCAAUAGUGAAAGACGGUUUUGCUGUCACUUAUAGAUGUAUCCGCGCCGCAUUAGCUAGUUGGUAAGGUAACGGCUUACCAAGGCGACGAUGCGUAGCCGACCUGAGAGGGUGAGCGGCCACACUGGAACUGAGACACGGUCCAGACUCCUACGGGAGGCAGCAGUAGGGAAUCUUCCGCAAUGGGCGAAAGCCUGACGGAGCAACGCCGCGUGAGUGAUGAAGGUCUUCGGAUCGUAAAACUCUGUUAUUAGGGAAGAACAAAUGUGUAAGUAACUAUGCACGUAUUGACGGUACCUAAUCAGAAAGCCACGGCUAACUACGUG